rnacentral:rRNA from 1 species
CCGGCGCACGGGUGAGUAACACGUAUCCAACCUGCCGUCUACUCUUGGCCAGCCUUCUGAAAGGAAGAUUAAUCCAGGAUGGGAUCAUGAGUUCACAUGUCCGCAUGAUUAAAGGUAUUUUCCGGUAGACGAUGGGGAUGCGUUCCAUUAGAUAGUAGGCGGGGUAACGGCCCACCUAGUCUACGAUGGAUAGGGGUUCUGAGAGGAGGGUCCCCCACAUUGGAACUGAGACACGGCCCAA